AUUGCACGCUGGCGGCAGGCCUAAAAAAUGCAAGUCGAGCGGAGCGGCGGACGGGUGAGUAAUGCCUAGGAAUCUGCCUGGUAGUGGGGGGUAAAGUACGGAAAAGGGCGCUUACACCGCAUACUAUCAGAAGAGCCUAGGCCGGAGUAGCUAGUUGGGGGGGUAAAGGCCUACCAAGGCGACGAUCCGUAACUGGUCUGAGAGGAUGAUCAGUCACACUGGAACUGAAACACGGUCCGGACUCCUACGGGAGGCAGCAGUGGGGAAUAUUGGACAAUGGGCGAAAGCCGGAUCCAGCCAUGCCGCGUGUGUGAAGAAGGUCUUCGGAUUGUAAAGCACUUUAAGUUGGGAGGCGUUACCAACAGAAUAAGCACCGGCUAACUUCGUGCCAGCAGCCGCGGUAAUUC
rnacentral:rRNA from 1 species